rnacentral:lncRNA from 1 species
UUGCCACCGGCCCAGCGCCGCCUCCCGGGAGGGGGCGGAAGUGACGUGAGUGUCCGCGUCAGCCGGCGCGACGCGACCCGACGUGGGCAGGGAGCCCAAGACGCCCGAGGGACUAAAAGACGGGCCUCUUCUCCGGCCUCAACGAUUGGCGAACGGCUCCGGAGGUUGCUGCGCCUGCGCCGAGCUCGCCGAGCGGCCCUCUGGGGCCGAGGCUGUUUUUUAUCGGGGAAAUCCGCACUGCUUAGUACGCCUGCGCCGUGCCCGCAGCCUCCGGCGACCCCUAGGUACCGGGAGGUCGCUGGGUAAGUGUAGUCGGCCGGCGCGUCCUCGCCGGGAGUACUGGCGACGAGCUUCGCGCUAGACUCGGGAGCAAGCCGACUGCUUCGCGGCGAAGACACAAAGUAAUAAGUGCCAAUUGUUGCAGGUUGCUAUGGCCUGUACGAGAGGCUUCCUGUGCAGAAGACGUCUAGAAGAAAACCCUGAAAGGAAAACUGGACCGGUUCACGUUAUAAAACAAACAUUUAUUAAAUCCUGAGUGCUGGGCUACAAAAGUCCCCCAAGGAAUUUAUAUUUUAUUAGAGGAACAGAUAUGAAUACAGUUAAAGUACACAGUGUUUUGUUUUGUUGCUGAGGCAAUUGGGGUUAAGUGACUUGCCUAGAGUCACACAGCUAGGAAGUGUUAAGCGUCUGAGACCAGAUUUGAACGCAGGUCUUUUUGACUUAAGGGCUGGUGCUCUCUAUCCACUGCACCACCUAUCUCCCCUGAGCAUAGUGUUUUCUUGGGAGAACAUACCAGCAAAUAAGGUGAUCGUCAUAAUAUAAUAAUAAUAUUUAUAAUAAUAACAAGAACAGGGCUUCUUAAAUUUUUUCCACUCAAGACUUUUUUUGCCUGAAGAAUUUUUAUGUGACCCCUGGUAUGUAGGGAUAUACUACACAUCAAACAUUUAAAUCAUAAUUUCACAACCCCGGCAUUAGUUAAGAGAUCUUGAGCCACAGUUUAAGAAUCUGACUUAUAGGGGGUAGUACUUGAGCUGAGCAUUGUCAUUCCAUCAGCAAACAUUUAAAGCCUGCUGUGUACUAGGCAUUAUGCCAAGUAAAUUCUAGGGAUACAAAAAAGCUAGCAGCAGAAUGCUAGGGAUUCUAAAAGUAAAUUGUGGAAGGAGUGAACUUGGGGGUGGACAGCUUGUCCAAAAAUACAUGUUGGGGAAAUGAGAUGUCAUAUAAAGGAAACCUUACCCAAGUCAAUUUGGCUAGAAUGUAGAAUUUGAGAGUACAAAGGUUAAAUAGUUUGUAAACCAAUUGUGAAGAGUUUUAAAAGCCAAGGAAGAAUUUUCUUUAAUCCAAGGGGCAGGAAGAUACUACUGGCACUUUUUCAGCGAGAAGAUGACAUAGUCAGACCUAUGUUUUAGUAAUAUCAAUUUGGCAACUGUAUAGUAGAUAAUUUAGAAAGGAGAGAGGCUAGAGGCAGGCAUUUAGGAAGCUAUAGUCCAAAUUAGAAAUAACUUGAAUUGGAAUGAUGUCUAUAUUAGUAGAAAGAAGAGGAAAGAUGCAAGAUAUAUUUUGAAGGUAGAAUUGACAAUAUGAGGGAAAAUGGAGGGUUGCAGAUAAACUACUAGGUAUGUAUACUUGAAUAACUAGAAGAAUGGUGCCUUCAACAAAAAAAGGAUGGACAACUAUGAUUACAUAAAAUUUUAUUUAAAAGUUUUGCACUAACAAAAUCAAUGCCACUGAAAUUGAAUGGGAAAUGAGGGAAAAGAUUGUUGCAACAAGUUUUUCUGAUGCAGAUUUCAUUUCUAAGGUAUAUUGAAAAUCAAUUCACAUUUACAAAAAUAAAAGCCAUUUCCCAAUUGAUAAAUUGUCAAAGGUCAAAAUGGUCAAAAACUACCUAUAUGAAUAAGCAGAGAAAAAUCCAAGCUAUCAAUAGCCAUAUGAAAAAAUGUUUGAAACCACUAGUAAUUAGAAAACUACAACUUAAAAUAACAUUGACAUACUGUUUCAUACAUAUCAGAAUGGCAAGAUGAACAAAAAAAAGUGAAAAAUAAUGGAAGACUAUGGGAAAACAUAUGUUAAUGCCCUGUUGAUGGCAUAAGAACUGGUCUGACUAUUCUGGAAAGCAAUUUAGACACAAUGCCCAAAAAGUUAUUAAAGUAUAUAUACUCUAGGUAAAGCAGUAGAUAGACACUCACCUUCAAAUCAGACAUCAGACACUAAAUAAGUAACUCUGGACAAGUCACUCAACCCUAUUUGCCUCAGUUUCCUUAUCUGUAAAAUGAGCUGCAGAAGAAAACAGCAAACCCAUUCUAGUAUCUGUGCCAAGAAAAUCCCAAGUGAGGUCAUAGAGUCAGACAAGUGAAACAACUGAAUAAUGAUACCCCUUUAACUUAAUUUUUCUGCUUAGUAGAUCUAUACUCCCAUAGAAAUCAGAGAAAAAGGAAAAGACCCAUAUGUACAAAAAUAAAGCAGUUCCUUUUUGUGGUAGCAAAGAAUUGGAAAUUGAUAAGGAGGACAGGAAUGAGAACCUUUCAAAAGAGAAACAAUUAAAUGUUGGUAUAUUUUUGUGAUAGGGUACUUGUAGUGAAAUGAAAUGGGGAUAUGAAAUGAAGGGGAUAGUUUUAGAAAAAUCUGGGAAGACUUGUUUGAACUGAUACACAGCAAUUUGAAUAUAACAAUGGGAACAAUUUAUGUAAUAAUCAUAUUGUAAAUAUGCACAACUUUGAAAGACUUGAGAAUUCUGAUCAAUGCAAAGGAACUAAUCACAGUCCCAAAGAAUUCGUUAUGAAACAUGCUAAACCUUUCCGAGAGAGAAUUGGUGGAUUUUGAGUGCAUAUUGUAUUGUUUUAUUAAUGUUAACUACUGUAGGGCAAUAGUUAAUGUGGGAAUUUGUUUUGUUUAAUAUACGUCUUUGUAAGUGGAUUUGUUUUUGUUUUUGUUUUCCUCAGUGGAAUAAGGGAAGGAAAGUCAGGGGAUUGAGAGAAUUUGGAAUUGAAAAUAAAUUUGGAUUAAAAAACAAUAGGAACUUUAGGAAGAGAGGCAAAAGCCAGAAGACUACAUAGAACCAUUAGAGAAAGAGAACUGUUUGGAAAAGUAAAGACUCGGACUCAGAGUCGCAAUGGCCUGAUGCAGGAAUACUCCUAGCAAGACACAGCCAACAAAGCAGAUCUUUCUUCUGCAGAAGACUGAAUCUGAAAAAGCCAUCAUGCUGGAUAUAAUUGAAAAGAAAAGCAAGUCAAAGAGCAUGACUUAAGUUUCUGCUACAAACCAGGCAAACACUAAAUUGUUCUGACAGAAGCUACCCUCUGCAAUGUCACCUGCAGGAAAUAGGGCUGGAAACAUAUCCCCAAAGAUCCCUAGAAUAGUAAGCCUGAAGUCAUCACCAUUUGCUUAUGAGCCCCUUCUACCUGGACUGGGGAUUUCUUUUCUUUUUUAAUUAAUUGUUUUAUUUUGUCUGGCCAUAUGUGUAUAUUAACUUUUUUAAAUACACAUUUCUUCAUGUAUCAUGUUGGGAGAGAAAAAUCAGAACAAAAGGGAAAAACCAUGGAAAAGAAGGAAAAAAAAAACAGAAAAAAGAAGUGAAUAUAGUGUAUGUGAGUUUACAUUUAAUCUCUAUAGUUCUAUUUCUCACACAUGGCAUUUUCUAUCCAGAGUUUAUUGGGACUGCCUGGACUCGGGAUUUCUUGCAGGAAUAAUGUGAAAAUUGAAACUGUCAUGACCUGGUGUAUUGGGCAAUAUAUAGUAUAGUGACCAUUAUUUAUACUUGCAUAAGAAGAAACAUGGGGGAAAUACUUUGCCAACCAAUGCAAGGACAAGUACUUGGCAGAUUGAUAGACAAGGACCAUUUAUCCACAAUUGGCUUCUAGAGGUUUUCCAUGACCAUACCUUGGUAUAUUCAAACCCAGCAUCCAUCUGUAGUGUCAGACCCAAUUCUACUCUAUUCAGAAUAUGAAUGGGAGACUUAAGCAUCAAGCUGGGACUUAAUACCUGAACAUCUUGACCAUCCAUACAGCUUGUGCACAAAAAGUGAAAGAAUCAAUAGAAGGAAUUCAGUUAAAGAGUACCAUCAGCUUCUAGGAAUCCAGGAUCACCACCGAGAUGUCAUCCUCAAGUCCUCACACAGCUACGAUCCAGUGACACAAGCCUUGCUGUUCCUUGCACAAGCCAUUCCAUCUUCAGACCAUGCAUUUUCAUUGGCUGUCCCUUUUGUCCAGAAUGUUCUCCCCCUUCAUCUCUAAUUCCAGGGUUCAAGUUUCAGCUAAAAUCUCACCUUCCACAACAAUCUUUUUCCCAAUCCCCUUUAAUUCUAGUACCUUUUCUUUGCAAUUCUAGUUUAUCCUGUGUAUGUGUGUGUAUUUGCAUAUAAUUUGUGUUUUCCUGAUUAAAUUGUGAGCGUAUUGAGGUCAGAGACUGGUUUUGA